rnacentral:rRNA from 1 species
CGGACGGGUGAGUAACGCGUGGAAAACCUGCCGUAUACUGGGGGAUAACACUUAGAAAUAGGUGCUAAUACCGCAUAGGCGCACAGCUUCGCAUGAAGCAGUGUGAAAAACUCCGGUGGUAUACGAUGGUUCCGCGUCUGAUUAGCUAGUUGGUGAGGUAAAAGCCCACCAAGGCGACGAUCAGUAGCCGGCCUGAGAGGGUGAACGGCCACAUUGGGACUGAGACACGGCCCAGACUCCUACGGGAGGCAGCAG